rnacentral:rRNA from 1 species
UACGAGGGCCCCGAGCGUUAUCCGGAUUUAUUGGGCGUAAAGAGCUAAAAGGCGGUUUGAUUAGUCGAGUGUGAAAUCCCAGAACUCAAUUCUGGACCCGCAUUCGAAACUGUCAAACUUGAGGACGGAAGAGGCAAGCGGAAUUGCUGGUGUAGCAGUAAAAUGCGUUAAUAUCAGCAGGAACACCGAUGGCGAAGGCAGCUUGCUAGGACGUUUCUGACGCUAAAUAGCGAAAGCGUGGGUAGCGAAAGGG